rnacentral:rRNA from 1 species
UACGGAGGGUGCAAGCGUUUAUCCGGAUUCACUGGGUUUAAAGGGAGCGUAGGUGGCUUUGUAAGUCAGUGGUGAAAUCUUAGAGCUUAACUCUAAAACUGCCAUUGAUACUGCUUAGCUUGAAUCACGUCGAGGUGGAUGGAAUAUUACAUGUAGCGGUGAAAUGCUUAGAUAUGUAAUAGAACACCGAUUGCGAAGGCAGUUCACUAGGCGUGUAUUGACACUGAGGCUCGAAAGCGUUGGGGAUCAAACAGG